UGGGCGCAGCUGACGCAGCACGCCGCGUGAGUGAUGAAGGCCUUCGGGUUGUAAACCUCUUUCCUGGGGGACGAAACUGGCCGGACCCCCAGGAAAAAACCCCGGCCAACUCCUUGCCCCCACCCCCGGUAAACCCAAGGGGGGGAGGUUUUUCCGGAUUUAUGGGGCGAAAAGGGGCGGCAGGGGGUUUGUUAAUUCGGAGGUGAAACCCCCCGCUUAACCCGGGAGAGGCCCUCCAAACCGUCCCGGCUGAAGGCAGGAAAAGGGAGGGGGAAUUCCCGGGUGAGGGGGGAAAUGCUUAAAAAUCGGGAGAAAACCCCUUGGGAAAAGCGCCCCCCUGGCCC
rnacentral:rRNA from 1 species